AUGAGUUAAGUAUAAACCCCUUUACAAGUAUCAAUUGGAGGGCAAGUCUGGUGCCAGCAGCCGCGGUAAUUCCAGCUCCAAUAGCGUAUAUUAAAGUUGUUGCAGUUAAAAAGCUCGUAGUUGGAUUUCUGUUAAUAAUUUAUAUAUAAUAUUUUAUGAUAUUUAUAUAAUAUUAACAUAAUUCAUAUUACUAUAUUUAUUAGUAUAUGAAAUUUUACUUUGAGAAAAUUAGAGUGCUUAAAGCAGGCAUUUGCCUUGAAUACUCCAGCAUGGAAUAAUAUAAAAGAUUUUUAUCUUUUUUAUUGGUUCUAAGAUAAAAAUAAUGAUUAAUAGGGACAGUUGGGGGCAUUUGUAUCUAACAGUCAGAGGUGAAAUUCUUAGAUUUGUUAAAGACAGACUAGUGCGAAAGCAUUUGCCAAGGAUGUUUUCAUUAAUCAAGAACGAAAGUUAGGGGAUCGAAGACGAUCAGAUACCGUCGUAGU
rnacentral:rRNA from 1 species